UGCCCUAUACGAAAGGUGUGGGGGAAGGAGAUUGUUGUCAACCUGUCUGACAGAAUAUUCACCAGAAUUUCUUGC
ncrna:unclassified sequences RT-6 RNA